rnacentral:rRNA from 1 species
UGGGGAAUAUUGGACAAUGGGGGCAACCCUGAUCCAGCGACGCCGCGUGUGUGAAGAAGGCCUGCGGGUUGUAAAGCACUUUUAGUGGGGAUGAAAAGUACAGGGUUAAUACCUCUGUAUCUUGACCUAACCCACAGAAAAAGCACCGGCUAACUCUGUGCCAGCAGCCGCGGUAAUACAGAGGGUGCAAGCGUUAAUCGGAAUUACUGGGCGUAAAGCGUGCGUAGACGGUAGCGUAAGUCGGGUGUGAAAGCCCCGGGCUCAACCUGGGAAUUGCAUUCGAGACUGCUCUGCUAGGGUGCGGAAGAGGGAAGCGGAAUUUCCGGUGUAGCGGUGAAAUGCGUAGAUAUCGGAAGGAACACCAGUGGCGAAAGCGGCUUCCUGGUCCAGCACCGACGUUCAGGCACGAAAGCGUGGGGAGCAAACAGGAUUAGAUACCCCCGUAGUCC